UGGGGAAUAUUGGACAAUGGGCGCAAGCCUGAUCCAGCAAUGCCGCGUGUGUGAAGAAGGCCUGCGGGUUGUAAAGCACUUUCGCCGGGGAAGAAGGCUAGUGACCUAAUACGUCAUUAGAUUGACACUACCCGGAUAAGAAGCACCGGCUAACUCCGUGCCAGCAGCCGCGGUAAUACGGAGGGUGCAAGCGUUAAUCGGAAUUACUGGGCGUAAAGCGCGUGUAGGCGGCUACUUAAGUUGGAUGUGAAAUCCUCGGGCUUAACCUGAGAACUGCAUUCAAUACUGGGUAGCUAGAGUUUGAGAGAGGUGGGUGGAAUUUCCGGUGUAGCAGUGAAAUGCGUAGAGAUCGGAAGGAACACCAGUGGCGAAGGCGGCCCACUGGCUCAAAACUGACGCU
rnacentral:rRNA from 1 species